rnacentral:lncRNA from 1 species
UUCAUAAAAAGUAAAUAUCUUUGUGUUGCUAGUGUUAAGAAAAAAGGUUUUUUUUUUUAUUUUUUUUACCGACCGUUCUUAGAGCAAGUGGCAAAGGGUUUGGUGGUUGUUAUCCGAGACCCAAGUUCGAAUCUUUGUUGAUUCACAUUUCCAGCUAAGUUUAUUUAAAAAAUGAAAUAAACGAAGCAGCUAGCAUGCUACCUAGCUAUCUCUCUCAAAAAAAAAAAAAAAAAAAAUUUUUUUUUUUUUUCCCUACGUACUUUUCUCUAUUGCGAGGUCUAAUUGUCUCACCUCAUGUAGCUGAAUCCAUUCUUCUUUAUAAAUGAAACAGAUGAUUCGCUACUUUUUUUUUCUCCAAAAAAAAAA